rnacentral:tRNA from 1 species
GGGCGAUUAGCUCAGGGGUAGAGCGUCUCGUUGACAUCGAGAAGGUCACAAGUUCAAAUCUUGUAUCGCCCACCA